AAUCACGAUUUUUUUUUCAAUCACUGAUGAUGUAGGAACAAACCUACUCAUUGUUCUCAGGAAGUUAUUCUGUGAAGGGAAAAUGACCAUAAAACAAUAAACAACUAAUUAUGUAAUGACAGAUCUGAACCAAGGCUGGGGAUUUCACCUUUCUUGACCAGAAAAAACUAGUUUUCCUUUAAUGGACCUUUUACAUCAAACUGAUAACCCUGAGUGAAAUGUCCCAAUUGGUACUAACAAAAAAAAGUCUAAGAUACCAAGUCCAUUUCUAAGAACUCCAUAAUCCUCAUUUGACUGCAUCUAUUAAUGAAAGGAUACAGACCAGGCAGAAGGACUCCAUCUACAAAGGUUGCCCUUGAUGCCGGCAGAUGCAAUAUCCAGAUUAUCUCAUCUGCAGGAAGUGAGUAAAAGAGAGAAGAGUGGAAAGGAAGAAGGGAGAGAGGGGCAGAAUAAAAAGAAAGAGAAACAGUGUGCCUUCUCUGAGAUACAAAGGAGGUGCCAACAUCCUUUGCCAACAGCAAGAGCCACAGCAAGCCUAACCUCAUAUUCUAAUAUGAGCACAUAUAUUCUAACAACCAUUCGACUGAUUGUAAUGGCACAGGGUGCCUGGGAGAAAGAUGAUAAAGGGCAAAGAAGUGGAGGAGUGUGACAUUUUUGAAGAACUGUCCUGCUGGGAGGUUAUAAAACCUAUUAGAGUUGUUGUUGUUUUGGUUCUUGUUAUUUAAUUUAAUUUCUACUUAUUUUACAUCCCACUGGUUGUACCCCUUCCUCUCCCUCCCCUUCUCCUCUGAGCUGGUGGGGACCGUCCUGGGGUAUCCACCAACUCUGGUACUUCAAGACUCUGUGAGGCUAGGUGCUUCCUUUUCCACUGAGACCCGACCAGACAGCCCAGCUAGAAGAACAUAUCCCUCGUACAGGCAACAGCUUUUGGG
rnacentral:lncRNA from 1 species